GUUUCAGUAAGUAUUUAUACAUGUACGAUAAACCGUUUAUUUUUUUAAAGGGGAUCAACUGAGGAGCCCACAAAAAUCUUGAAAACCUACAGAGACAAAUUUUUGAUGGGAAGAAAAUUGGACAUAAGCGAGGUGGAUGAAAUUAUUGAAGGUGACACGUCUUCGAUAUUUGUUGGACGUAACAACCUAUGGGAAGACACAAACUCGGAGGUUAAAUUGCUUUCCAAUAUUCGAUUUCCGCUAGAAGUGAACUUUCACGGGGAGCAAAGUGAGGACUUAGGUGGUCCUAGAAAGGAAUUUUUACGACUGGUUCUGGCCUACUUAAAGUCCUCCAUUUUGGAACCAGGAGUACCAGUCAAACUCCGACGAAACGGUGCUCUCAUUGAAAAUCAAAGCUAUGAUACUGCAGGAGUAAUUGUAGGUCUCAGUGCCCUUCAAAAUGGGCCAUGCGCAAAUUUCCUGGGAUCUCUUAUGGACAACUGGCCACAGUCGGAGCCAUAAGAGUAUGCCCUGCUCAGGAAAGGACUCGAAAGAGUAGGAGUAUGGCAGCUCAUCAGACAGAAACCGUCCUUGUUAUAUCUCUUCCGAGAGCAAAGUGUAAGACUUAGUGUGUCUAAGUUUGUAAACACUUUAAAGCCACGCUUCAGCGAGGAUGGAACUAACAAAAGGUCCAAAGAGGAGAGAGUAUACUCUUUCUUCAUUAGAUUCAUAAGAAAUGUUGCAGCUGGAAGACAAGGAAGCUUAACGCUUGGCCAGAUUUUGGCUUUUGCAACAGGUUCUGAAGAGGAACCAGUUCUUGGUUUUGAAAUUGAACCAAGUAUCCUCUUCAGUGAACUCUCAGGCGACCUGCCAACUGCAUCAACCUGUAUCAAUCAACUAAUUCUUCCGUUGUCAGAUAAAAGUGAGGAAUACAUGAUAGACAGAUUCAUGUGGGCAUUCUCAAAUACCUACUUUGGACUCCAAUAACAUUGAUUGGAAAAAAAAGUUCUUUUGUCACUGACAGUGUAUUUCUGUAUUAUUUUCCAGUUUUCCUUGUUGAUUAAUGGAUUUUUCGUUUGUACAGACACGUUUUAUGAAAAACGUUGCAUUUUUGUCAAAUAUCUUAUAUUUUUUUCUCAAUUGACUUGGAAUUUUGGACUACAAUGUAAACCUUUUCUAAUAAGACAGAGAAAAAUUCAAAAUUGAUAUGGAUAAGAUUUUCAGUUGUAUAUGUAAUAUAAGCAAAAUAUAAGCAAAAGUUAACAAUUUUUUUUAGUAUUUGAACACAAUCAAAAGUCGCAUACUCAGUGAUUGCGAGAUAUGUAAUCGUAGGUUGUUUCUUUCGUUUGUUAUUGAGCCUUCUUUAUAGUUUUACUUUGAUUAAAUAAAGAAGAAAAUGGUAAAUGUCAACAUAA